rnacentral:rRNA from 1 species
UACAGAGGUCCCAAGCGUUGUUCGGAUUCACUGGGCGUAAAGGGUGCGUAGGUGGUGGGGUAAGUCGGAUGUGAAAGCUCGGAGCUCAACUCCGAAAUGGCAUUGGAAACUACCCUGCUAGAGGAUUGGAGGGGGGACUGGAAUACUUGGUGUAGCAGUGAAAUGCGUAGAUAUCAAGAGGAACACCAGUGGCGAAGGCGAGUCCCUGGACAACACCUGACACUGAGGCACGAAAGCUAGGGGAGCGAACGGG